AUGGCGUUCCGCGCACGCUCCAUCAAAGCUUUAAUACGCAACUGAGGCAACGGAACAGAGGGGCAGAUAGAGUCAGUACAGCAUCAGUAUCCUCUCCGCCGGGAAUGCGACCUGAUCACUGCCAUAAGACGACCUCUAUAGGGACCAGCACGAGCACACUCUCAUGGAGCCAGAGUUUCAAACGCAGCAGAUGCAACAGAUCACUGGAUGAGACACGCAGCGUUUCUUCGUUUCUCUACAGUCCUCUAGAUUGGGAAAACCAUGGGUAAGAAAGUCUUGCAGUGUUUUCCUUGGUACAAACGCUGUAAAGACCUGGGUAAAAGCAGGCUGUGCCCUCCUCCGCCUGUGCCAUCUGUUGAGGUGCAACCUUGCUUCUCUCCGACAGUCUCCUGGGGUUACGACGGAGAGGAAAGCGCCACACGCCCCGUUUAUUUUUCCCAUAAAGCACGAGUAGUUUAUCGCCACCAGAUGGAAGGCAAUAUUAUUGAUGCCACCUGCUGACCUUUGGGCUUCUUUCCCAGAAUCUCUUGCCUUGUACCUGGCUGUAGACGUCCAGCGUAGAGGAGCGUUGUAGGAACCUACUAGACUAUUCCAUCAUGUGUAAUUAAACUAAAUAUUUAGUAUUUAGUAAAGA